AUAAAUUCCUAAAUUUUCUACCACCCCGAGGAAGAUAUCUUUCUUAAGCAAACUUUCCCCCUUCUCCUUUUCAUCGACAAAUUUCCGGGACUGAAAUGGGACUAGUGUUUCUGAUUGAUGCUGCUGAAAGUGAAAAUUAACAGUAACAUCUGCUAAUUCUUCUUUUUGUGGAAGCUUCCGAGAUGAGACAAACUGAAAAUCUCAUGGAUUUGAACAAUAUUGGCGAGGCAGAGGAUAGGAUUAGUCAAUUACCUGACUCACUUCUUCAUCACAUCCUCUCUUUCCUUGAUAUCGAGCAUGUUGCUCGUUCUUCUUUACUAUCUAAAAGAUGGAAAUACAUAUGGACAUCUAUCCCCACUCUUGUUUUUCCAUCCUAUCAUUCCAAACCGCCCUCAUCGUCUGAAACCAAUAAGUUCAUGGAAUUUGUUGACAGAACAUUGCAUCUUCAUGAUACGUCAUCAAAUAUACAAAAAUUCCUGUCUCAAAACGAAUGACCACAUGAGUGCAUCUCGGGUUCAUUCAUGGAUCGAAAAUUUAACAAGGCGUAAAGUCGAGGAGCUCGAUCUCUGGUUAGAUCAAGAAAAACCUUUUUUUGUUCCUCUAUCUCUUUUUACAUGCAAGUCACUGAUUAAAUUGGAGCUAGUGGGGAACGA